CCUCAGAAUAUCCCUAAGAGGACAGAUGUGAAGAGCCAGGAUGUUGCCGUUUCCCCGCAGCAGCAACAGUGCUCAAAGAGCUAUGUCGACAGGCACAUGGAAUCCUUGAGUCAGUCCAAAAGUUUCCGUCGUCGGCACAACUCCUACUCUGGCCUGGUUGUCCCAAGUAUUUCCUAUGAGCUGCAUAAAAAGCUGUUGUCCGUG
rnacentral:lncRNA from 1 species